UACGUAGGGGGCAAGCGUUGUCCGGAAUUAUUGGGCGUAAAGAGCUCGUAGGCGGUCUGUCGCGUCUGCUGUGAAAACUCAGGGCUUAACCCUGAGCUUGCAGUGGGUACGGGCAGACUAGAGUGCGGUAGGGGAGACUGGAAUUCCUGGUGUAGCGGUGAAAUGCGCAGAUAUCAGGAGGAACACCGGUGGCGAAGGCGGGUCUCUGGGCCGUAACUGACGCUGAGGGACGAAAGCUAGGGGAGCGAAUGGG
rnacentral:rRNA from 1 species